UGUCCCACAGCAUUGGUUAUUUUCACUUAAAUUUUUAGCGUGUUUCUGGGUGGAGUGUGUCAAUUAACGACGGAAGGAAGUUGUAUUUAAGAGGGGCAUGUCGUACCUGAAUCAGAGGCGUCAUCCGUUUGUCUACACAGGAAGUUUGCGUAUGAGUGAUGUUAUGGUGGAAAGACGGCUGCGUGUCAAUCAGAUGUUUCGUGUGUAUGUCUGUUGUGUUACUGAAACGUGGCACUUCCAGACCAACUGUCGCGUGCUGUUCUGAAGACAAGGAAAACACCGCUUAUCCACCAAUCUUGGGGUCGGCUGACCCCGAUUCUCAUUUUUGCCUUAAAGAACCUGCAAACGUGCGUGACGCGGUCGGUUUCUGGCACAGGGCUCGGAACGUGAUGACCAGAGACCGCUAGUGGGAACUCCAUUUUCUUAUUUUGGGUUUAUAUAUAUUUGUUUUUUUUUUGUCUGUUAUCCAUUUCGUUUUCUGUGUGACUAUAAUGAUGAACUUAUGGAAGAAUAAAUAUCCCUUGUGAAAU